rnacentral:rRNA from 1 species
GAUGAACGCUGGCGGCGUGCCUAAUACAUGCAAGUCGAGCGAACAGACGAUGAGCUUUCUCCUCUGACGUUAGCGGCUGACGGGUGAGUAACACGUGGAUCACCUUCCUAUAUUACUUGGAUAACUUCGUGAAACCGGUUCCAAUACCAGCUCAUAUAUUUUACCGCUUGGAUCAAUAGUUCAUGACGGUUUUGCUGUUACUUAUAGAUGGUUUCGCGUCGCAUUAGCUAGUUGGUAAGGUACCGGCUUACCAAGGCAACGAUGCGUAGCCGACCUGAGAGGAUGAUCAGCCACACUGGAACUGAGACACGGUCCAGACUCCUACGGGAGGCAGCAGUAGGGAAUAUUGCGCAAUGGGCGAAAGCCUGACGGAGCAACGCCGCGUGAGUGAUGAAGGUCUUCGGAUCGUAAAGCUCUGUUGUUGGGAAAGAAAAAAUGUGGAAGUAAAUAUGCACGUCUUGACGGUACCUAAAGAGAAAGCAACGGCUAACUACGUG